rnacentral:rRNA from 1 species
UACGUAGGGAGCGAGCGUUGUCCGGAUUUACUGGGUGUAAAGGGUGCGUAGGCGGCAAUGCAAGUCAGGCGUGAAAGCCCGGGGCUUAACCCCGAAACUGCGCUUGAAACUGUGUUGCUUGAGUGAAGUAGAGGUAGGCGGAAUUCCCGGUGUAGCGGUGAAAUGCGUAGAGAUCGGGAGGAACACCAGUGGCGAAGGCGGCCUACUGGGCUUUAACUGACGCUGAGGCACGAAAGCAUGGGUAGCAAACAGG